AUUGAACGCUGGCGGCAGGCCUAACACAUGCAAGUCGAACGGUAACAGGCAGAAGCUUGCUUCUUUGCUGACGAGUGGCGGACGGGUGAGUAAUGUCUGGGAAACUGCCUGAUGGAGGGGGAUAACUACUGGAAACGGUAGCUAAUACCGCAUAACGUCGCAAGACCAAAAAGGGGGACCUUCGGGCCUCUUGCCGUCGGAUGUGCCCAGAUGGGGUUGGCUAGUAGGUGGGGUAACGGCUCACCUAGCCGACGAUCCCUAGCUGGUCUGAGAGGCGGACCAGCAACACGGGAACUGGAAAACGGCCCAGACCCCUAGGGGAGGCAGCAGGGGGAAUUUUGCACAAUGGGCGCAAGCCUGAUGCAGCCAUGCCGCGUGUAUGAUGAAGGCCUUCGGGUUGUAAAGUACUUUCAGCGGGGAGGAAGGGAGUAAAGUUAAUACCGGUGCUCAUUGACGUUACCCGCAGAAGAAGCACCGGCUAACUACGUG
rnacentral:rRNA from 1 species